rnacentral:rRNA from 1 species
AUUGAACGCUGGCGGAAUGCUUUACACAUGCAAGUCGAACGGUAGAGGGGGCAACCCCUCGAGAGUGGCGAACGGGUGAGUAAUAUAUCGGAACGUGCCCAGUCGUGGGGGAUAACGUAGCGAAAGUUACGCUAAUACCGCAUACGAUCUAAGGAUGAAAGCGGGGGAUCGCAAGACCUCGCGCGAUUGGAGCGGCCGAUAUCAGAUUAGGUAGUUGGUGGGGUAAAGGCUCACCAAGCCAACGAUCUGUAGCUGGUCUGAGAGGACGACCAGCCAAACUGGAACUGAGACACGGUCCAGAAUCCUACGGGAGGCAGCAGUGGGGAAUUUUGGACAAUGGACGCAAGUCUGAUCCAGCCAUUCCGCGUGCAGGAUGAAGGCCCUCGGGUUGUAAACUGCUUUUGUACGGAACGAAAAGGUCUCUCUUAAUACGGGGGACUCAUGACGGUACCGUAAGAAUAAGCACCGGCUAACUACGUGCCAGCCGCCGCCGUAAGAC